CCCACAAGCGUGUAGCUUUAAUUAAACGUUAUCGUGUUUAAUUAAAUAUUGAAGUUAUAUCUGAUAUUUGCUGUGUUGGUGUAAUGUACUCAGGUGAUUGAGAUGCUUGUGUGAUGUUACUCUGAGUAUAUAUCCACACCAGGCGGCAUAAAAAGCCUGAUUGCUAUGAUUAUUAGAUUACACUGAUAUCGAAGGAACUAGACUCAGUUCCGAAAUAUCGCACAUUCGAACCGACCUGACCCCGUAGCUCAGUUGGUAGAGCAUUGGGUUAGUAUUCCAAAGGUCGUAGGUACUGUAGGUUCGAAUCCCGCGGUGGCCAGGCAUAUGUUUCAAGCCUUCCCGGUGUGGAACACACUCAGAGCAACAUCACACAACUGACACAAGCAAAGUUAUAUCUAUUUUGGAGCGCAGUCACUAAGUGUGAGCAGAUGUGAGCAAAUCGAAUGGUUCUCCUUGACGGGAAAAUUACAAAACCAGCACUUAACCAACGAUAUAACGUCUUGCGCGCCGCGCAAGCUAUAUGAAAAGGACGACGUAAGCUAUAUGAAA